rnacentral:rRNA from 1 species
AGAGUUUGAUCCUAGCUCAGGAUGAACGCUGGCGGCGUGCCUAACACAUGCAAGUCGAACGAAGCAUUUCAGAUGAAGUCUUCGGAUGGAUUCUGAGAUGACUGAGUGGCGGACGGGUGAGUAACACGUGGAUAACCUGCCUCACACUGGGGGACAACAGUUAGAAAUGACUGCUAAUACCGCAUAAGCGCACAGUACCGCAUGGUACAGUGUGAAAAACUCCGGUGGUGUGAGAUGGAUCCGCGUCUGAUUAGCCAGUUGGCGGGGUAACGGCCCACCAAAGCGACGAUCAGUAGCCGACCUGAGAGGGUGACCGGCCACAUUGGGACUGAGACACGGCCCAAACUCCUACGGGAGGCAGCAGUGGGGAAUAUUGCACAAUGGGCGAAAGCCUGAUGCAGCGACGCCGCGUGAGUGAAGAAGUAUUUCGGUAUGUAAAGCUCUAUCAGCAGGGAAGAUAAUGACGGUACCUGACUAAGAAGCCCCGGCUAACUACGUGCCAGCAGCCGCGGUAAUACGUAGGGGGCAAGCGUUAUCCGGAUUUACUGGGUGUAAAGGGAGCGUAGACGGCAUGGCAAGUCUGAAGUGAAAACCCAGGGCUCAACCCUGGGACUGCUUUGGAAACUGUCAAGCUAGAGUGCAGGAGAGGUAAGUGGAAUUCCUAGUGUAGCGGUGAAAUGCGUAGAUAUUAGGAGGAACACCAGUGGCGAAGGCGGCUUACUGGACUGUAACUGACGUUGAGGCUCGAAAGCGUGGGGAGCAAACAGGAUUAGAUACCCUGGUAGUCCACGCCGUAAACGAUGCGUGAAAGGUGUUGGGGGGCAAAGCCUUUCGGUGCCGUUGGCAAACGCAAAUAAGCACUCCACCUGGGGGAGUUCGUUUCGCAAGAAUGAAACUCAAAAGGAAUUGACGGGGACCCGCACAAGCGGUGGAGCAUGUGGUUUAAUUCGAAGCAACGCGAAGAACCUUACCAAGUCUUGACAUCCUCUUGACCGGCGUGUAACGGCGCCUUUCCUUCGGGACAAGAGAGACAGGUGGGGCAUGGUUGUCGUCAGCUCGUGUCGUGAGAUGUUGGGUUAAGUCCCGCAACGAGCGCAACCCUUAUCCUUAGUAGCCAGCAUUAAGAUGGGCACUCUAGGGAGACUGCCAGGGACAACCUGGAGGAAGGUGGGGAUGACGUCAAAUCAUCAUGCCCCUUAUGAUUUGGGCUACACACGUGCUACAAUGGCGUAAACAAAGGGAAGCGACCCUGCGAAGGUGAGCAAAUCUCAAAAAUAACGUCCCAGUUCGGACUGUAGUCUGCAACCCGACUACACGAAGCUGGAAUCGCUAGUAAUCGCGAAUCAGAAUGUCGCGGUGAAUACGUUCCCGGGUCUUGUACACACCGCCCGUCA